CUACGUGCCAGCAGCCGCGGUAAUACGGAAGGUCCAGGCGUUAUCCGGAUUUAUUGGGUUUAAAGGGAGCGUAGGCUGGAGAUUAAGUGUGUUGUGAAAUGUAGACGCUCAACGUCUGAAUUGCAGCGCAUACUGGUUUCCUUGAGUACGCACAACGUUGGCGGAAUUCGUCGUGUAGCGGUGAAAUGCUUAGAUAUGACGAAGAACUCCGAUUGCGAAGGCAGCUGACGGGAGCGCAACUGACGCUUAAGCUCGAAGGUGCGGGUAUCAAACAGGAUUAGAUACCCUGGUAGUCCGCACAGUAAACGAUGGAUGCCCGCUGUUGGUACCUGGUAUCAGCGGCUAAGCGAAAGCAUUAAGCAUCCCACCUGGGGAGUACGCCGGCAACGGUGAAACUCAAAGGAAUUGACGGGGGCCCGCACAAGCGGAGGAACAUGUGGUUUAAUUCGAUGAUACGCGAGGAACCUUACCCGGGCUUGAAUUGCAGAGGAAGGAUUUAGAGAUAAUACG
rnacentral:rRNA from 1 species